UCACAUCCACCUCACAAAGCAGGUAUUAUUAUCAUGCCCAUUUUAUAGAAGAAAAACAGGUUCAGAGAAGGUAAGUAACAUUCCCAAAUGGUAGAGCUUGUGAGUCUCAGAGGCAGGAUUUGAACCCGGGCCUGUCUGACCGGAGACCCAUCCUCUUUAUUAUAGAGUGUUUCUCCUGUGUUGCCUGGAAGUGUGAGUUAAAGCUGAGAGCAUGUGCCACGUGCUCCAGCCCUAACUCUUGUCAUUUAUUAUAUUGGACAAAUUACUUAUUUAUGCCUCAGUUUUGAUGUUAGAAGUGGAGGUAAUAAUAGGACUUUCUUCCUAGGAGUUCAUGAAAAUUUAAUAGUUAAUAUGUCCAGAGUGCAUAGAACAUGGUCUAUCACAUACUAAUGACAUCAUUAAAUGGGACAGGAUGGAGCCUUAUUUAUUUAUUUAUUUAAUUUGUGAGACAAGGUCUCACUCUGUUGCCCACGCUGGAGUACAGUGGCACAGUCUUGGCUCACUGCAGCCUCGACCUUCCCCAGGCUCAAGUGAUCCUCCCACCUCAGCCUCCUGAGUAGCUGGGACUACAGGCAAGCACCACCAUGCCUGGCUAAUUUUUGUACUUUUUGUAAACACAGGGUUUUGCCAUGUUGUCCAGGCUGGUCUCAAGCUCCUGGGCUCAAGCAAUCUGCCCACCUCGGCCUCCCAAAGUGUUGGGAUUACAGGAGUGAGCCACCACAUCUGGCCCAGGGUGGGACUUUAAACAGAAAAAGGACGUGAGCAUGGAGGUCUGGCCUGAGCAGGAGUGAACAAUGCUACAUUGAGGAGAGAACAUUAAAGGAGACCCAGCUCUUGGAGUGAGGCCUUAAGCUUCGGGAGUUGAAACAAUGACCUCCCAUUAAAACCCUUGGAGUCACAGGGAGAAACAGAUUUCUAGAAUUGGACCUAAAUCUGUUCAUUCUUAUUUUUCCUAUUUUUGGCUACCUGAAGAAACCAACAAUAUUUGUUCCCUGGGUAUUUUGAAGUUCACCAUAAAUAAUACCACUCGGUUUAGAAAACUGUGUAUUCAGUUCCUCAGAGAAUGGAUUAUCUAAUUACGUGUCUGUGUUUACAUGGAACAGGUAGUCCAAUCCACGAAAGUGUGAGAACCAUGAGCCUAGUCUCGACCUCAGGAGUUGCCUGAGGAAACUGAUGCUAAAAAUCCAAGUUGCAAAUCAAAAUAUUAGAAAAAUCAAGCCAUGCUCUAGACUUGGAAGCCCGACACUUAGAUCAUCUCUCUCUGAGCAGAGCCAGCUGUUGGCCCCCAUAGGUGAGUGUCAGUGACAUUCUGACACAGGAAAGGUCAACAGGUGCCCCAGGACCACAUCCACCUGGUUAGAAGCUCUGCUGGGUUUGGUCUGGGAGAGACCCGCUGCCUCAAGAGAAUUUGCUACAGGGAAAGCCCCCUGGGUAACCAUGAAGAUGUGAUAUGUUAUGUCAGCAUGAAGAUAGACGAUAUUGUAGAAGACCUUAUGGGGUUUGUAAUGGGGAAAGUGGGCAGGGGAGGUGGGAAUAAAUAUUGCAACAAAGUAUCUUUUCUCUCUUGUGUGUGUGGAAAUGUGCUCUUUGGGGCAUUAAAAUCCUACCAGUGUACCCCCAUGCCCUUCCAAGAUGAGCUCAGGGAGAUGUAUUUUUGUGUUGCAGUCAACAGGCUGAUAAUCAUCAUCAUGGAUCAUGUACUUAAGGCUGAAAAACAGCAGCCUUCUCUAUCCCAUCAUAGAAAGGGCAUUUUGAACCACAAAGGCUAUGUCCCUGGUAAUAAACAUCAGAAAUAACCAUUUGAAUAAAUUACAUGUGUGUAGCAUGUGAUUUUAUAGAAUGCUUCCACAUGUGUUACUAUCUCAUUUAAUUCCAUAUUUGUACAAAUAUGUUAUACACUUGGGUAAUUCUCUGAAUUCUCUGCAUUUCACGCAUUUGGAGUAGUGGCAGGGAUGUAGUGGCACUCAGAUGACAUCAGGGCCUGUUUGCUUUAUGGCAGUAAUGAGCAUUUGUAGGGCAUUUCACAGUUUAUGUAGAGCUUAAAUACAUUUAUUAGACCUCAUUUGAUCCUCACAGUAACUUUAUGAGGUAAGAUGGAUAUUGUUCCUAUCAUAGACUUUAAUGCAUAAUAUUAACUGUCUUUGCUUCUCUGCAUCUAACUCUAGACUGCAAGUUCCACAAGGAUUAUAGCUUUUCGAUAUAUUUUUCACUGUUUCAUCACAGUGCUCAGUAACUCUUUGUUUAAUUGACUUUGAUAGUAUUAUAAUUGCCCCCAUAUUUGUGAUCAAUGAAGAAACUGAGGCUUUCAGAAGGAUUUAUCUUGCCCAAGGUCACACAACUGGGAGUGAAAGCCCUUGAAUUCACAUCUUGUCACUGUCACUGCCUGUCCAAAUGGUCACAAAUUGAGGCUAUCUGGCUGGUAAGAAGUCCCUUUAUCCUGCUAUAAUUUUCUUGGUGGCUCUGUGUCAUUAUGCUGAACUCAGUUUCCCCUCAAGCAGGUGAAACUGCAGAUGGCAUAGGGCACAUAGCUGCAGACCUUGCUCAGACUGGACUCUGAAAGAUUUGGAACCUUAGGCAGAGAGGUGGAAAGGAGUUGGGGAGGCAGUGGCAAUGAUUUGAAAACUAUAACCAAUUUUCUCUCUCCUAGGAGUUGGAGACUUGGAAUCCCCUUUGGUGCAGAAACUAUUCCUUCAUGAGAAGAAGUCCUUAAAUAGGCUCUUUAGACAGGAGGCCACAUGUUGAAGGCAGCAGGGUCACAAGAUGGAAGAACCAGGGUCCCAGUAUCAUCGCUCCCUGCUUCAAGCUGCCAGGGGCAGCCUAACCCACAUGGCAUUAUGACAUAAGAAACAAAGUAACUAUUGUUUUAUUAAAUCAAUGAGAUAUUGGGCUUCUUGUUAUAGCAACUAGUAUAAAUUGCCCUGACUGAUACAUUAUGGAUUUAGAGUGCACUGUACUACAACUGUUUGUUGUAUUUUCAAAAUUGUGGUAUAACUGACU
rnacentral:lncRNA from 1 species